rnacentral:rRNA from 1 species
AGAGUUUGAUCCUGGCUCAGGAUGAACGCUGGCGGUAUGCUUAACACAUGCAAGUCGAACGAGAGUUUUUAACUCUAGUGGCGAACGGGUGAGUAAUACGUGAGAAUCUGCCCUUAGGAGGAGAAUAACUGCUGGAAACGGCAGCUAAGUCUCCAUAUGCCGAGAGGUGAAAUAGUUUACACUGCCUAAGGAUGAGCUCGCGCCUGAUUAGCUUGUUGGUAAGGUAAAGGCUUACCAAGGCCACGAUCAGUAGCUGGUUUGAGAGAACGAUCAGCCACACUGGGACUGAGACACGGCCCAGACUCCUCCGGGAGGCAGCAGUGAGGAAUUUUCCGCAAUGGGCGAAAGCCUGACGGAGCAAUACCGCGUGAGGGAUGAAGGAUUUUGGUCUGUAAACCUCUUUUCUCAAGAAAGAAGUUCUGACGGUACUUGAGGAAUAAGCAUCGGCUAACUCCGUGCCAGCAGCCGCGGUAAUACGGGGGAUGCAAGCGUUAUCCGGAAUCAUUGGGCGUAAAGCGCCUGUAGGUCGUUUAAUAAGUCCGUUGUUAAAGACUAGGGCUUAACCCUAGGAAAGCGAUGGAAACUGAUAGACUUGAGUAUGGCAGGGGUAGAGGGAAUUUCUAGUGUAGCGGUGAAAUGCGUAGAUAUUAGAAAGAACACCGGUGGCGAAAGCGCUCUACUGGACCAUUACUGACACUGAGAGGCGAAAGCUAGGGGAGCGAAAGGGAUUAGAUACCCCUGUAGUCCUAGCCGUAAACGAUGGAUACUAGAUGUUGUGCAAUUUGGACAGUAUCGUAGCUGUCUCUUAUACACAU